GAUGAACGCUGGCGGCGUGCCUAAUACAUGCAAGUCGAGCGAACGGACGAGAAGCUUGCUUUUCUGAUGUUAGCGACGGACGGGUGAGUAACACGUGGAUAACCUACCUAUAAGACUGGGAUAACUUCGGGAAACCGGAGCUAAUACCGGAUAAUAUUUUGAACCGCAUGGUUCAAAAGUGAAAGACGGUCUUGCUGUCACUUAUAGAUGGAUCCGCGCUGCAUUAGCUAGUUGGUAAGGUAACGGCUUACCAAGGCAACGAUGCAUAGCCGACCUGAGAGGGUGAUCGGCCACACUGGAACUGAGACACGGUCCAGACUCCUAAGGGAGGCAGCAGUAGGGAAUCUUCCGCAAUGGGCGAAAGCCUGACGGAGCAACGCCGCGUGAGUGAUGAAGGUCUUCGGAUCGUAAAACUCUGUUAUUAGGGAAGAACAUAUGUGUAAGUAACUGUGCACAUCUUGACGGUACCUAAUCAGAAAGCCACGGCUAACUACGUG
rnacentral:rRNA from 1 species